rnacentral:lncRNA from 10 species
CAGAAAGGUUGGCUUCCCUCCCUAUCCCUUCCUCUCUCUCCUCACCCCCACUCUAUAGUGAAUGCUUUUUUGUGUUUUGUUAGUUUUUGUUUUAUUCCUUUGUUCACAUGUUUGGAAAUACAUAAACAUGCACACAGGUGUGCAGUAAACUGUGAUGCCUUAUCUUGGAGGAUGGAUGAGUUCCUUGUGGCUGUUGUAACAAGCGACCAUGUGCUAGGAUCUAGGGAAGACCCCGUCCUUGCCUCUCCACGGUUUCUGGUGGCUGCUGGCAAUCCUGGGCCUUUGCUGGCUUGUAGCUGCAUCACUCCAAUCUCUGCCUCCACCGUCACAUGACCUCCUUCCCUGUGUGUCUGCACCUGCAGAUCUCCCUCUUCUGGGCUGACUCACAUGUUGAGAUGUGUGGCCUCCUCAGCCCCUGGAAUGAUGUGCUCGGACUGCCUCUCAGCCUGGUUUGCGGGGUGACUUGUCACAAUCUCUGGUGACCCUCCCUUUUGCACUGAGUUUACGGCCAUGUUUAUUUUGAGGGGAAGGAGAUGAUGAUGGAGGUGUGGCCAUUAAUCAGCCAUGGAGCUUCUCGAGUGUGUGGCCCUGAAGUCUGAUCUGGACACAGAAAGAUAGAGCGAUGGCGCUGGCCGUCCUCUCACUCAGAUUUUGUUAAUGGCUCCUGGCCUCGCUGUGCCAGGUCCACCCUGAACACAACAAAUGCAUCCCUCCCCUUGGAAUGAAUGCAGCACAUUGGCUGCUGCAGCAGAGCCUUGAGAGCGCCGCUUCUCAGAGGUCAAAGUGAGUCCAUGUUAGAGGGCGUGAGAGUGGACUCGGAGCCUGGUGCACACCCAGCUCUAAGAGGGCAGCAGUUGGUAAAAUGGGUUUGUAAUGGCUCAUGCAUUGCCCUGAAGCAGUACUUGUUAUUGGAGCUCAUUCCAAAGGGACCCUGCUGUGCGGCUCCUUCUAGUGCUCACCCAGGUGCUGCGUGGGUGAACUGAACGUUUACUCUUCCCAAAAGAAACAUCACUGUGAAAAGGAGCCCUUGACAGUGAGAUGUGUUGAAAAGCAAUGUCUGUGUCAUCUUCUGGUCUGAGUUCAUGUGUCUUAAAGCAGGUAUCCUAGCAAACAAGGCUGAUUUUCUUAUUAAAACCCGGGGCAAAUAAUUACUGGAUAUGAUCUUGUUUGUCUCAUUCUCUCCCAAAACCAAGGGAGUGAUUUAUUUUAACUCCCACGAAAGGGCUUCCUGGAAGGGGCCUGCACUGGCGGUGGCUGGCUGUGUUAGGAGGUGGAUGUGUUAGUGGUACUCCAGGAUAAGAACCUUGUGGGUCUGUUGGGAGAUUUAAUAUGAGUUUUUAUCCCUUUUAUUGAUGCUGUCAAUGCAGCUAACAAGGCUUAGGUUCUCCUAGCGAGAGGAUUCGUGAUUUUGAGCACCAUUUUGUACUAAGAUGUUGUUUAUGGAAAUACUCUUUCAUGUUUGGAGAAUCAUAUUACUCCACUCCACCAACAAGGACGCAUUUCAAUCAGAAUUUGGAACGGGCUGGUUAUUGAUUGACAGUCUUUUUUGGGUCCUAAUGGUCUGCGUACUUACCUUUCUAGAAAUGAUCUCAGCUGUAAGCUUGCAUUACAGCACAUGACUUAUUUGACUGAUGUUUGUCUCUCUCUCAUCUAUAAACCCUGCAAGGACAGGGUCGUGUGUGUGUCUGUGUGUGUGUGUGUGUGUGUGUGUGUGUGUGUGUUUUCUCUCAGAAUCAUGUGCCUAGUGUCCACCAUGGCGCCUGACUGUGGGGAGGCUUAAGAAAUUUUGUGAAUACAUUAAACAGUAUCCCACAGCUCCGGAAUCCCAAGAGAGCCACAGGGCUGAGCAUUUGCCUGUUGGCUUUGCAAAAGCUCCAGGAAGGACUAAUUCCAGCACCCGACCCAGUAAUCUAAUUGCAAAACCGAUACUCAUGAGUGUCAGCAUAGACACUGUUUAAGACAGGUUCUGUCAAACUGUAAGAAAAUCAUGUGAAAAAUAUGAUAGUUUUUAUUCUCCCAAAGGCUUGUUUUUCUCUCUUAACAUGAGAUUUCCCCUCCUUUAAAAAAUAUCAACCUAUUAAACCUAGCUAUGUAAAAAUUGCUUGUUCAGAACUUUAUAAGCUACAAAAUGUAUUAUUGCAAUCUGUAGUUAUGUAAUAAACAGGCCUGCAACUAUGUAACAAUUCCCAGUAUGAAAUAAUCAUAAAAUCCGAUAUUACUUUUCUCCGGCAUAGCCUAUAUUUUUUAAUAAACUGUCACUUCUUCCGA